UACAGAGGUGGCAAGCGUUGUUCGGAAUUACUGGGCGUAAAGGGCGCGUAGGCGGCCAUCUAAGUCAGACGUGAAAUCCCCCGGCUUAACCUGGGAACUGCGUCUGAUACUGGACGGCUUGAGUGCGGGAGAGGGAUGUGGAAUUCCAGGUGUAGCGGUGAAAUGCUUAGAUAUCGUCAAGAACACCUAUAGCGAAGGCAGCUUACUAAGCUUUAACUGACACUGAUGCACGAAAGUGUGGGGAUCAAACAGG
rnacentral:rRNA from 1 species